rnacentral:ncRNA from 1 species
AAGGUAGAGGCGCGUGUUUCAAUAGUACUUAUGCGGAGGCGGACGGAUGCCUGUGAACCAUAAGGAAAGGGAAAAACGCCGAAGCGGUAAUUUUCCGUAGAGAUUAUUGCUGGGCAUGCUGUAAACAACAGUAUGACUGUCAUCAACAAAUGAUGGGGAGCUAUCG